rnacentral:pre_miRNA from 1 species
AGCUGGUUGAAUCUGGGCCAAAUUCGUCAAAGCUUUGCAUUUGGUCCCCUUCAAUCAGUUGU